rnacentral:lncRNA from 1 species
AUGUUCAUAACUCCUUUUCUCUUGAAAUGCUCCCAGGUUCAGACUGUAAACUUAAAUAUGUGUAGGAAUUCAGGUAUCUUCUUUUGCUGGUGCUGUGAGCUAAGAGUUCCUGUUCAAGAAAAAUGCAACAGAAAAGGAAGGAACAGAUACUUAUAUUUAAAUUUGUGUGACCAAAGAAGAUUCAAAAAGAGUCAGAUGUUGCAUGAAUUAAAGUGAAUUAAACCAGUUGCUACCUUGAUGUUCUGAACCAUCUAUCAGAAGACUGCAGCAAGAAUUGGUAAUCUCUGUGUGAGUACAGAUGUUCAUAUUAAUUUAGUAUGGACUGGCAAUUCAGGAACUCUUUGUGUGUGUUUCAGCCAUAUCUGCCUCAGAGGAAAACAGGCUAUACCUGACAGAGAGCUUUUGAACUAAAAGGAAACCUAAUCUUUUUUUUCUGCAUAUAUAUAUAUAUAUAUUUCCUUUGUUUUUCAGUUUUUUUCUGUGACUUCUGUAUCCAAGAAGCCAAGAUGUCAUCGCUGUUCUUUAGAUGGAAACAUUUUUAUUUCUGAUUUAUUUUGUACUGCUUUCCUUCAAACACUGUCCAACCUGUCCCCUUUUUUAACACCUUAGAACUCAUAAGGGGCGUGUUCAUUAUUGCUAUUACAAGAUGCUUGUUUUUUUUUUUUUUCUGUAAUUUCACCCUAACUUGGCAUUGUGGUCUCAGAUGCCAUUUUACUUGGCCCGUAAAUCAGUCCAUCUCUGUAGCAUGCAAAGCAACCACAAAUGCAAACUAAAUCGGAGCCUAACUUGAAAAGCACUUUUAGUGGCACGUUCCAAGGCUGUACUUUAUAGUAUUUAUGCAUGCUUUAUUCUGUCCAAGAGGAAAUGGUGAAAUAUGUGGAAUCAUGAUACAAGUAAGUACACAGACGAAGGAAAAGGAGGAGACAGUGUGAGAAUGCUCAUGUAUGUUAAUGAAGAACAGAGGGAUUUUAAAGGAAUCUGAGAACUCAGGGUUACAGCUAGUUGUCUGACACUUAAACUACAAAACCUUACUUUUUCAGACUUUAAGAGAAAGAUGUUUGAAGUAUUAGAUAUGCUUGUUCCUAGCAGUAACGUAUCCAAUGGUAUUAAAAAGAAAAAGCCAAAUGAGAGAUCAUGAAAAAAACAGCAUAGUAUUAUAUCUUUAACCAGUACACGUGUGACUGUAUUCAGUUGUUAUACAGAAAUUUAUAAUUGCAUUGCUCUCUUCUUAUACAGACAAAAUGUCUUUACAAAAGGCAAGUGAUUGAAAUGCUUGUAUCUUUUUGCCUAACAAAAUGCCAGAAGGAACUUGCUGCCCAAAGGCUCUUGAUUUAAUCCUAGCAUACCAUUGUUCUUUUGCUGUGUUAGGUACAGAAAAUAUGCCUUCUGUUAAUAAUAGGAAUGAGAAUCUGCAUAUUUCUCUUACGGCAUGAAAUUACAGCAUCACCACAGGUAAGGUGUUAGCCUCUGUAUCUUUUCUAAAUUAGCAAAGACUGUGAAGAAUGUUGUGCUGUCCUACAGUAGUUAAUGUGUCAUUUGAAUGAUGCAUACUUUCAGUAUGCAUCAGCAUCUGUUGUUGCAUUAAUAUUGUGUCUGUUUCAAGUGCUUUAGAAACAGUGCAUACAAAUGUUUUUUCUUCCUCUUGAAAAUGACAGUUUUCCCAACAGUUUUAAUAAGGGCUGAAAAACACGAAGUGCUUUAUCUCCUAUUUGCAGUACAUAAAACUGAAGAAGAGUGGCCAUACCUUCAAGUUACCUGAAUCUUUCAGACUUCCAGAUCUUCAAACUUCUCAUAGGGACUUUUUAUUCUUUAUUGUAUAGAAAAAAUUUAAGGUCAAAUGGCAUCGAUUUUUAAGUGGUCAAUUAAAACUAAUCUAGAACAGCAGUCGGUUUUAAUAUACUUUGUUUAUACUACAUUUUAUAAUGUCACAUAUUAAAGACUAGUAUCUGAAACUAAAGAAAGUGAUGUGAAAGAUGUUACCCAAGCACUAGUCUUGAAGAGUUGUACCUUCUUCUUUGAUUACCUCUCAGCCAACUGAAACAAACUAUUGCUUCCAAAUGCUUUUGUAAGCCACAGUAUCCAGGCUCUUUCUAAACUCAUCUCCUUUCAGCUCAGACAGGAGCACCUCUUCAUUUUAGUUUUACCUGUAAACAAACGGCACUACAGCUCAUAAAAAGAAGCACUCAAAGUGGCUUAUCUCAUGUCUCAAGGCUUACUAUUCCAAAGCAAUGAGCAACUUCUAUCGAUUCACUGCAGUCCUUUCAUGUUGGUCUCUGAGUCCUUCCAUGUUUUGGUCCCUGGUUGCUCUGUAAAGUCACAGAGGCUGUGUAAGUCUCCUCGCUUCCUGGCCUGAGUAAACACCAUCACUUCAUGCUGAUUUCACGCUGGGAGAAGAUUGAGAAAGGUGUAAUAUCCUCGUACCUAUUUCCCACAAAGAACUUGAGUCACUUGAACUCAACCGAAGUCAGUGGUGGAGCAUUUAAACCAGACAGCAAUUUAUAGUACCAGUGAUAGCCACAAACACUCAGUUUCAUAGGUCAGUCCUGAUGCAAUCAGCCCUUACCUCACUACCUCACUAUACAUACUUCUUCUGCCAUCUGUCCUCUUUGGUCAUCACAGCCUUUGAUCUGAUUGCAGUAAAAAGAAGUAAGAUGAAAAAAAACAACAGUGUGGUUUUCUGACCACUCUUCUAACUGUCUAGACUUCUGAGGCUGUCUCAUGGUGAGAAGGCAAUGUGUCCCUUGUUCAUCGUUCUCAUACACAUUAGGACAUGGGCAGAGAAGAUCAGGUCUGCAUCUGGUUUCAGUAUAGUGCCCCAUGCUCAUCUUAAAAUGUUGUUCUCUCUUGUUUCAGUCAUGUUAUCUCCUUUUUCUCCCUUCUGUCUCUUUAGUUUUUUCAGAACAUGACCUAAGGAAGAUCACCACCCCUAACUUAUUUAUAAUUCUGUCAAACUCUCCUUUUUCUGGACAAUCUCAGUAACCAUUUUAUGUGAGCAACUCACUUGCAACUUCAGUCUUUCAUGUCCCACUCCUAUUUUCUUGCUUUAGCUUGGACAUUCUUAGCUCAGUGUAGCUUUAGGAGAGAGCUGAUUCUCUUAAGCUUUUCUGCUGUUCUUCUGCCCUUGGGCACUCCAGAACACGUAAUCCUGCCUAUGACUCAGCACAAACAUCCGGCUGUCACGUUAACUCAGACUUACGUCCAGUUCUUCAGGCUUAGGUUACAUCUCUGCUAAAGGCUCCUUUCUGUAUAACAACUUCCACACAAUUAAAAACCCUUAUUCAGGUUCCUGUUACUUCACAGCCAGAGCUCUACUCCCUUCCUGAAGCCUGAAGAUGCAGUCCUGCCUUGCUCACAGCUAACUGUUAUUUUCCUGUCCCAUCACUCCUUUUAUACCCUUUUGAUGACUUCUCAUCUUCAGUUACAUUAAAAAUAAUCUAUUGCUUCCACUUUUCUGAUGUGUCUUAAUUGCUGAUAUAUGCCAGAUGGUGAAUGGACCAUCACCCAAAUCAUCACCUAAAAACUCCAUUGCAAAUCCUACAGUAAAGACAUAGACAAAGACCAUUGUCAACUUUGACAACCACUAGGCUCUCUCCUCUCUCCAGCAUCUCUUAUAUC